GAUGAACGCUGGCGGCGUGCCUAACACAUGCAAGUCGAACGAAGCAAUUAAGAUGAAGUUUUCGGAUGGAAUCUUGAUUGACUGAGUGGCGGACGGGUGAGUAACGCGUGGAUAACCUGCCUCACACUGGGGGAUAACAGUUAGAAAUGACUGCUAAUACCGCAUAAGCGCACAGGGCCGCAUGGUCCGGUGUGAAAAACUCCGGUGGUGUAAGAUGGACCCGCGUCUGAUUAGGUAGUUGGUGGGGUAACGGCCCACCAAGCCGACGAUCAGUAGCCGACCUGAGAGGGUGACCGGCCACAUUGGGACUGAGACACGGCCCAA
rnacentral:rRNA from 1 species